rnacentral:lncRNA from 1 species
GGAAGUAGUGGUCAAGCUAGUGGUGCGGGUCAUGACGAAGACAUGGAAGAUGUCAUUGGGUCCGUGGGCGGUGGUGUUGAUGAGGAGGAUUGAAGACCUUGGUUUGGGUAGUAUUAGAUUUUUUAUUUGUUAGUUUUUUUUAUUAUUAUUAUUAUUGUUUUUGUGUUUUUAAUUAUGCUUGCACUUUAGGAAGCAUCACAUGUUGGUGUUUCCCUUUUUUUUUUUACUUUUGGUGGCUCCCGUUUCACUGUGAAAUUUUGUUUUGUUAAUUGCAUGUAUCUUUAUUGUGAAGUUUAAUUGUGUGUUUCUAUGAACUUUGGUAUGCCCCACUUUUUUGUUUAAUUGUUCUCGU